rnacentral:lncRNA from 1 species
GUACUAGGCUGCACAGUGUAAAAAAUGGUAAUAAAUAUUCAGCAGGCAGUGAGGAUGGUCAAGGCUCACCCUGUGCCUUAGGAGAAAGAAUCACAAGAGUUCUAAAAUUCUUCCCAAAGAAAUGGCUGCAUAUAAAAAUGUUUAACUCCACCUUAGCUCUGCACUCCCUAAAAGCACAGCAUGCAGGACUGGGUGGUGACACCACAAGCAGUGUUCUCUCCAGGCUGCAUGAUAGGCUACAUAGCAAUUACCCUCUGGGAAGGCUGAGCCACCUCUGCUGUGGUGCAGCUCCAGAAAUCUCCACUUGCUGUUGGGGGGCUGGGAUGUAUGGACAGGUUACAGUCAGGACAUGAGCCUUGCCUCAGGCUAUGGCAUCCAACUCGCUCAGACUCCUGGAAGCCCAUCAGGGUCUGUUUGCAAGGCAGUCUGCUGUGUGGCUGUUUGGCUGUUGCACAAAGGAGAAACGGGCAUUCCUAAAAUUCACUUUGGCAAGAAACCAGGCAGAGAUCUGUGGGACUUUAUAAAAAUGGAUUCCACCAGGCUGCAUAUCUGCCAAACUGACAUUCAGCUGUCCAAACUGCAGUGUUUCAUAAAGGUCCAGCUACCAAAUGAUGUACUGUGGAACAGAUGCCCAGUCAGCAUUGACCAAUUGGCUGUAUCCUUCCUGAACUGCAGUCACUAGACCUGGAUAUGUUAAUCCUGCAGCAUUAUCAAAUGUUGAGAAAUUGUGGCAUUUUGAUCUCUACUCAGAAUUCUCUUGUUUAUAUUAUAACAUUUUUCACCAGAGUCUUUUGUUGGUAGCACCACAUUGACUUGAUUCAAGAAUGUUCUAACUUGUUUUGAAUUCUCUGUCUCAUUUAGAGAGUCUAUAGCUUUGUUUAACCAUCUUUGUUCCUCUGCAGUCUAGUCUUCUAGGGUACAUCAGCUACACAUAGAGUUUAAUGUUCAAGGACCUUUGCAGUAGGAACCAGGCUCCUAUGUAGGCUUAUGUCAGGCAUGCUGCAACUUUACUUCCUUCUGAACCAGUCUCCAUUUGCUUCCAAAAUGGUUCAUGGCAUUUGCAAUCAGAAUCCCCUUAUGAUCACUCUGCC